GUCCUGGCAGUAAACGGUGCGCGUUUGGUGUGGGAGGAUUCGACCCCUUCUGUGCCGGAGCUAACGCGUUAAACGCGCCGCCUGGGGGAGUACGGUCGCAAGAUUAAAACUCAAAGAAAUUGACGGGGGCCCGCACAAGCGGUGGAGUAUGUGGCUUAAUUCGAUGCAACGCGAAGAACCUUACCUGGCCUUGACAUGCAUCUCUAAGUCGGUGAAAGCCGGCGAGUGUAGCAAUACACAAUUUGCACAGGUGCUGCAUGGCUGUCGU
rnacentral:rRNA from 1 species